AGAGUUUGAUCAUGGCUCAGAAUGAACGUUGGCGGCGUGGAUUAGGCAUGCAAGUCGAGCGAGAACCGUAGCAAUACGGGGACAGCGGCGAAAGGGACAGUAAUGUGUAGAUCAUCUGCCCUCAGGCCUGGGAUAGCUGCGGGAAACUGCAGGUAAUACCAGAUAAUAUCUCCGGAUCAAAGGUGUGAUUCCGCCUGGGGAUGAGUCUACAUCCUAUUAGCUUGUUGGUGGGGUAACGGCCUACCAAGGCGAUGAUGGGUAGCGGGUGUGAGAGCACGACCCGCGUCAUUGGGACUGAGACACUGCCCAGACACCUACGGGUGGCUGCAGUCGAGAAUCUUCGGCAAUGGGCGCAAGCCUGACCGAGCGACGCCGCGUGUGGGAUGAAGGCCUUCGGGUUGUAAACCACUGUCAGAGGGGAUGAAAUGCAGGUGGGUUCUCCCAUCUGUUUGACAUAGCCUCAGAGGAAGGACGGGCUAAGUUCGUGCCAGCCGCCGCGGUAAUACA
rnacentral:rRNA from 1 species